GAACAAGUGGCUCAGUCAGUUAAAGGUGCCAUGUAUUUUAGAACUCAGGAAAACGAAAGGUCAGUGGUAGAACCACUUGCACUUUCUGAAGUUCAAAUUGCCAGAUUCAGAUACGCCACCAGAUUUUCUGCAUAAAUUAGCAACCAUCUUGGAUCUUUCUGGGAAAUCAUUGUUUUUUAAACUCAAUUUUAAACCAACCCAAGUGAUAGGGAAUAUAUAUUUUUAGUUCUUUGUCUUUUCUCAUAUAUUUUUCCUUCUCUAAAGUGUGAAGAGUUCUUGAAUCUCUAAAAAUCAAAUAAUUCGCUUUGGAAUCUUCUCAGGAAAGCGAUCGUGCUGCUCAACAAUACAUUUUUAAAAUACAAGCCUUAAAGUUUGUGAUAAAGGCCAGGCCUGGCUGAGAGAAGCUGUCAGCUGUGGCAGCCUCCUGUCCCCUACACAGUAGUAGCGGAAUGUGCUUCCACUUUCUCCUCUAUAAAAUGGAAAUUCUAAUGCCUGCCCACCUGGUGGCUGUGAGGAUUCACUUGUUCAUACUGUAAGAAGAAGCCCUCAUGCAUGCUCACUGGCUGGUUGGCCCUGGGGUAGCUUGCUUUAUGAGACACCUGCUAUUUAUGGACGCGAGAAUGGCAUAGAGAGAUGAGGGCCCUUGCUCAGGGUUACCAGCUGUGGUAGCACUCACUGGUAUUUGAACCCAGGCACCUAAGCACUCCAAGGCUGAGUAGCAAUGAAGAACCUAUUGUCUUAACUACAAGGCUGUUCUGCUUCACUGCCUGACACAUGGAUGUUGUCUGAUGUGACUAUCAUGAUUCUGAAGACUGAAGUGCUUGAUGGAUGAUCUGCUUUAGAAUGAAUCUAUCAAAAGGAAGAGAAAGAGAAACAUUCAGUCACUCGUGUUCUCUGAUGCUUUCCUGUGAAGUCAAAGAACUGUCAGGUAAAUGAGUGCUGCUCUGAAUGAAAACCCAAACAGGACCAUCUUCCAAGUUUGCAUUUCCUACUUGCCAAAUAAAUAUUUGACUGCUUUUAUUGUUUGUUUGUUUUUAUCUUUGUUUUGUUUUUUGUUUUUUUG